rnacentral:rRNA from 1 species
CCUACGGGUGGCAGCAGUGAGGAAUAUUGGUCAAUGGACGAGAGUCUGAACCAGCCAAGUAGCGUGAAGGAUGACUGCCCUAUGGGUUGUAAACUUCUUUUAUAUGGGAAUAAAAUGUUCCACGUGUGGGAUUUUGUAUGUACCAUAUGAAUAAGGAUCGGCUAACUCCGUGCCAGCAGCCGCGGUAAUACGGAGGAUCCGAGCGUUAUCCGGAUUUAUUGGGUUUAAAGGGAGCGUAGGUGGAUUGUUAAGUCAGUUGUGAAAGUUUGCGGCUCAACCGUAAGAUUGCAGUUGAAACUGGCAGUCUUGAGUACAGUAGAGGUGGGCGGAAUUCGUGGUGUAGCGGUGAAAUGCUUAGAUAUCACGAAGAACUCCGAUUGCGAAGGCAGUUCACUGGACUGCAACUGACGCUGAGGCUCGAAAGUGUGGGUAUCAAACAGGAUUAGAUACCCCUGUAGUC